rnacentral:rRNA from 1 species
AAACGUAGGGGGCGAGCGUUGUCCGGAAUUACUGGGCGUAAAGGGCGUGUAGGCGGUCAUUUAAGUCAGAGGUGAAAACUACCGGCUUAACCGGUAGCCUGCCUUUGAAACUGGAUGACUUGAGGGCAGGAGAGGGGAGUGGAAUUCCCAGUGUAGCGGUGAAAUGCGUAGAUAUUGGGAGGAACACCAGUGGCGAAGGCGGCUCUCUGGCCUGUUACUGACGCUGAGGCGCGAAAGCGUGGGUAGCGAACGGGAUUAGAUACCCCGGUAGUCCACGCCGUAAACGAUGGGUGCUAGGUGUAGGAGGUAUCGACCCCUUCUGUGCCGUAGUUAACACAAUAAGCACCCCGCCUGGGGAGUACGGCCGCAAGGUUAAA